UAGGAGGCGAAAAAAUCAUUUUAUUCGAAUCUUCGAACUAUGGGUGAACUAUGGGCAAAGUAUGGCGAAGUAUGGGAUGCGAGAAAAUCUUUUUUUUUCAAUCUUCCAACUUCCAACUUCCUCCAAUCUUCCAUAGUUGGCCCAUAGUUCGCCCAUAGUUCGAAAAUUUAAAAAAAAGUGUUUUUUUCGCCUCCCAUACUUCGCCAUACUUGGCCCAUAGUUCGCCCAUAGUUCGAAAAUUUAAAAAAAAGUUGUUUUUUUCGCCUCCCAUACUUCGCCAUACUUGGCCCAUAGUUCGCCCAUAGUUCAAAAAUUAAAAAAAAGUGUUUUUUUCGCCUCCCAUACUUCGCCAUACUUGGCCCAUAGUUCGCCCAUAGUUCAAAAAUUUAAAAAAAAAUUUUUUUUUCGCCUCCCAUACUUCGCCAUACUUGGCCCAUAGUUCGCCCAUAGUUCAAAAAUUUAAAAAAAAGUGUUUUUUUCGCCUCCCAUACUUCGCCAUACUUGGCCCAUAGUUCGCCCAUAGUUCGAAAAUUUAAAAAAAAGUUGUUUUUUUCGCCUCCCAUACUUCGCCAUACUUGGCCCAUAGUUCCCCCAUAGUUCGAAAAUUUAAAAACAAGUGUUUUUUUCGCCUCCCAUACUUCGCCACACUUGGCCCAUAGUUCGCCCAUAGUUCGAAAAUUUAAAAAAAAGUGUUUUUUUCGCCUCCCAUACUUCGCCAUACUUGGCCCAUAGUUCGCCCAUAGUUCGAAAAUUUAAAAAAAAGUGUUUUUUUCGCCUCCCAUACUUCGCCAUACUUGGCCCAUAGUUCCCCCAUAGUUCGAAAAUUUAAAAAAAGUGUUUUUUUCGCCUCCCAUACUUCGCCAUACUUGGCCCAUAGUUCGCCCAAAGUUCAAAAAUUAAAAAAAAGUUUUUUUUUCGCCUCCCAUACUUCGCCAUACUUGGCUCAUAGUUCGCCCAUAGUUCAAAAAUUUAAAAAAAAGUGUUUUAUUCGCCUCCCAUACUUCGCCAUACUUGGCCCAUAGUUCGCCCAAAGUUCAAAAAUUAAAAAAAAGUUUUUUUUUCGCCUCCCAUACUUCGCCAUACUUGGCCCAUAGUUCGCCCAUAGUUCGAAAAUUUAAAAAAAAGUGUUUUUUUCGCCUCCCAUACUUCGCCAUACUUGGCCCAUAGUUCCCCCAUAGUUCGAAAAUUUAAAAAAAAGUUUUUUUCGCCUCCCAUACUUCGCCAUACUUGGCCCAUAGUUCGCCCAUAGUUCAAAAAUUAAAAAAAAAGUGUUUUUUUCGCCUCCCAUACUUCGCCAUACUUGGCCCAUAGUUCCCCCAUAGUUCGAAAAUUUAAAAACAAGUGUUUUUUUCGCCUCCCAUACUUCGCCACACUUGGCCCAUAGUUCGCCCAUAGUUCGAAAAUUUAAAAAAAAGUGUUUUUUUCGCCUCCCAUACU